rnacentral:rRNA from 1 species
CAUGCAAGUCGAACGGUAACGACUUCAUUACCUUCGGGUAAUGAAGGGCGACGAGUGGCGGACGGGUGAGUAACGCAUAGGAAUCUGCCCAGUAGUGGGGGACAACUCCGGGAAACCGGAGCCAAUACCGCAUACGCCCUACGGGGGAAAGCGGGGGAUCUUCGGACCUCGCGCUAUUGGAUGAGCCUAUGUCUGAUUAGCUUGUUGGUAGGGUAACGGCCUACCAAGGCAACGAUCAGUAGCUGGUCUGAGAGGAUGAUCAGCCACACUGCGACUGAGACACGGCGCAGACUCCUACGGGAGGCAGCAGUGGGGAAUAUUGCACAAUGGGCGCAAGCCUGAUGCAGCAAUGCCGCGUGUGUGAAGAAGGCCUGCGGGUUGUAAAGCACUUUCAGUAGCGAAGAAAAGCCUGAGGUUAAUAGCCUCGAGUCUUGACGUUAGCUACACAAGAAGCACCGGCUAACUCCGUGCCAGCAGCCGCGGUAAUACGGAGGGUGCGAGCGUUAAUCGGAAUUACUGGGCGUAAAGCGCGCGUAGGCGGUUUGGUAAGUCGGAUGUGAAAUCCCCGGGCUCAACCUGGGAAUUGCAUUCGAUACUGCCUGACUAGAAUGUGAUAGAGGUAAGUGGAAUUCCCGGUGUAGCGGUGAAAUGCGUAGAUAUCGGGAGGAACAUCAGUGGCGAAGGCGGCUUACUGGAUCAACAUUGACG